rnacentral:lncRNA from 1 species
GGGACCUGCAAAGGAAGUCUAAACCGGAGGUGGGGUUGCUCCGGCAAGACCCUCCGACGCUCAAGUCAGUUCUCUGCCUCAACAAGAAUGGAGUGCUCGAAUGGAGAAUUUAGCAGAGUUUUGAGAUAAGGCAAAAGAGCUUAAAGAAUAACGUAUCUGAGUCCCCCUUUUAUAGGCGGGGGAGGCAACGGACUGAUGGCGACGUUUGUAACCACCUGGUAGUGGGCCGCCCAUGGUCAGGAGAAUUGAUUGCGAAAUAUAAUGGAGCAGAUACGUGGGCAUCACCUCGACCCGCCACGUGGAGUCUGUUCUGAGGGGUGGAGCAGCGUCCGUCGUCAGGAGAAUCGCAUGGUAUCCGUCGCAGGAGGUGGAGC